UCUAAGGACUUUCUUAAGUCCAUACAUAUAUUUAUUCAAUAUGAA
rfam:Picea glauca, whole genome shotgun sequence.